rnacentral:rRNA from 1 species
AUGAAAAUAUUAAGUUGGAACUGCCGUGGGAUAGGCGAUCCCGCGACAGUUCGAGAACUCCGCACCCUCGUGGAGCUAAGUUCGCCGUCUAUCCUUUGUUUAGUCGAAACUCAGUUGCAGAAAAGUCGUGUGGAGGGUCUUCGUUCUUCUUUAGGUUUUGAUUUCAGUUUUGGUGUUGGUAGUAGUGGUCGGAGUGGUGGCAUUUGUAUCUUU